rnacentral:snoRNA from 1 species
AUUUCAUGAUAGGGACAUUCUAGGAUGUAGUCUAGAAAGCGCUCCCAUGCUUCUGGAACAGAUUCAUCAUUUUGUUGCUGAAAACUUGUAAUCUUCCCACGGAGAGC